CGCAUUCUGGUGAAGCGCGAUGAGCUGACCCUGGAGGGUAUCAAGCAGUUCUACGUGAACGUGGACAAGGAGGAGUGGAAGCUGGACACGCUGUGCGACCUGUACGAGACGCUGGCCAUCACCCAGUCCGUCAUCUUCGCCAACACCCGCCGCAAGGUGUGGGCGGGGACGCGCGGGGGGGGGGGGCGCCUGGGGAUGCGCGAUGGGGACCAACCAGCUUCAUUUGGCACAGCCGGCAAACUUCUGAGGGCAGGGCGGCCCGGCUAACGUGUUUGUGGGAACGGUUGCCUAGCACCCUGUUGUGUUGCUAACGAAUUAUGCCCAUGCUGCCGAUGCAAUCCGCAGGUGGACUGGCUGACGGACAAGAUGCGCGAGCGCGACCACACCGUGUCCGCCACCCACGGCGACAUGGACCAGAACACGCGCGAUGUGAUCAUGCGCGAGUUCCGCUCCGGCUCGUCGCGUGUGCUGAUCACCACCGACCUGCUGGCCCGCGGCAUUGACGUGCAGCAGGUGUCGCUGGUCAUCAACUACGACCUGCCCACCCAGCCCGAGAACUACCUGCACCGCAUUGGUCGCUCGGGCCGCUUCGGACGCAAGGGUGUUGCCAUCAACUUCGUGACCAAGGUAAGCGGCUGGGCAAGGAGGUCAAUGAAAGGCGAUGUUCGGAACUCUUGCUGGAGCCGAAUAUGGAUUGGGAAAGGGUGCUUGGCCGGCGCGUGUCAGCGCUGAAGCAUUGAUGACGCGAUGAUGAGAGUGGCAGUAAGGCGUGCUGCUGUGGAACGCGGGACCUGGCACCUGCUGACUCUCAACCAUAUCCUUGUGCCUUUGCAG
rnacentral:lncRNA from 1 species